rnacentral:rRNA from 1 species
GAUGAACGCUGACAGAAUGCUAACACAUGCAAAGUCAACUUGAAUUUGGGUUUUUAAUUUUGAUUUGGGUGGCGGACGGGUGAGUAACGCGUAAAGAACUUGCCUCACAGCUAGGGACAACAUUUAGAAAUGAAUGCUAAUACCUGAUAUUAUGAUUUUAAGGCAUCUUAGAAUUAUGAAAGCUAUAAGCACUGUGAGAGAGCUUUGCGUCCCAUUAGCUAGUUGGAGAGGUAACAGCUCACCAAGGCGAUGAUGGGUAGCCGGCCUGAGAGGGUGAACGGCCACAAGGGGACUGAGACACGGCCCUUACUCCUACGGGAGGCAGCAGUGGGGAAUAUUGGACAAUGGACCGAGAGUCUGAUCCAGCAAUUCUGUGUGCACGAUGAAGUUUUUCGGAAUGUAAAGUGCUUUCAGUUGGGAAGAAACAAAUGACGGUACCAACAGAAGAAGUGACGGCUAAAUACGUGCCAGCAGCCGCGGUAAUACGUAUGUCACGAGCGUUAUCCGGAUUUAUUGGGCGUAAGGCGCGUCUAGGUGGUUAUGUAAGUCUGAUGUGAAAAUGCAGGGCUCAACUCUGUAUUGCGUUGGAAACUGUAUAACUAGAGUACUGGAGAGGUAAGCGGAACUACAAGUGUAGAGGUGAAAUUCGUAGAUAUUUGUAGGAAUGCCGAUGGGGAAGCCAGCUUACUGGACAGAUACUGACGCUAAAGCGCGAAAGCGUGGGUAGCAAACAGG